rnacentral:rRNA from 1 species
CAAGUCGAACGGUCCGGCCGAAAGGCCGGAUAGUGGCGGACGGGUGAGUAACGCGUGAGCAACCUGCCUUAAAGAGGGGGAUAACACAGGGAAACCUGCGCUAAUACCGCAUAACAUGAAUUUUCCGCAUGGGAGAUACAUCAAAGGAGCAAUCCGCUUUAAGAUGGGCUCGCGUCCGAUUAGAUAGUUGGUGGGGUAACGGCCCACCAAGUCAGUGAUCGGUAGCCGGACUGAGAGGUUGAACGGCCACAUUGGAACUGAGAGACGGUCCAGACUCCUACGGGAGGCAGCAGUGGGGGAUAUUAGGCAAUGGGGGAAACCCUGACCUAGCAACGCCGCGUGAAGGAAGAAGGUCUUCGGAUUGUAAACUUCUUUGACGAGGGACGAUAAUGACGGUACCUCGAAAACAAGCCACGGCUAACUACGUGCCAGCAGCCGCGGUAAUACGUAGGUGGCGAGCGUUGUCCGGAUUUACUGGGUGUAAAGGGCGUGUAGGCGGAAUGGCAAGUCAGAUGUGAAAUACGGGAGCUUAACUCCCGGGCUGCAUUUGAAACUGCUGUUCUUGAGUGAUGGAGAGGUAAGCGGAAUUCCCGGUGUAGCGGUAAAAUGCGUAGAUAUCGGGAGGAACACCAGUGGCGAAGGCGGCUUACUGGACAUUAACUGACGCUGAGGCGCGAAAGUGUGGGGAGCGAACAGGAUUAGAUACCCUGGUAGUCCACACUGUAAACGAUGGAUACUAGGUGUGGGGGGACUGACCCCUUCCGUGCCGGAGUCAACACAAUAAGUAUCCCACCUGGGGAGUACGGUCGCAAGAUUAAAACUCAAAUGAAUUGACGG